GCCCUCGUGGAUGGAUGGUACCAUCACCCAUUAGCCGUCGACGAUUAAAUCGGAGGCGGAGGAUCGAAUCCUCCCGGGGGCA